UCUCAGUACAGACUGUAUUAAAGUGAAACCGCAAAAGGCUCAGUAAACCAGUUUUAAUUUACUAGAGUAAACUUGACUGUGCUUGGAUAACUGUGGUAAUUCUAGAGCUAAUACAUGCAAAAACGCCCCUGGCCACCCAUGGCUAGGGCGCUUUUAUUUGAUCAAGAUCAUUCGCCCGGUUCGCCCGAGCGUCUACUUGAUGAAUCAGAAUAACACAUCAGAUCGCAUGGUCUCCGUACCGGCGACUUAUCUUUCAAAUGCCUGACUUAUCAACUUACGAUGGUAGACUCUGUGUCUACCAUGGCUCUUACGGGUAACGGGGAAUCAGGGUUCGAUUCCGGAGAGGGAGCCUGAGAAACGGCUACCACAUCCAAGGAAGGCAGCAGGCACGCAAAUUACCCACUCCCGGCACGGGGAGGUAGUGACAAAAAAUAACGAUGCGGGACUCGAUUAGAGGCUCCGCAAUCGGAAUGAGUACACUUUAAACACUUAUUCAAAAGUCAAUUGGAGGGAAAGUCUGGUGCCAGCAGCCGCGGUAAUUCCAGCUCCGAUAGCGUAUAUUAAAGUUGUUGCGGUUAAAAAGCUCGUAGUUGGUUCUGCGUCCCACGCUGUCGGUACACCGCACGUCGGUGACACUGGCACGCCGUGGUAUGUCCUGUCGGUGGCGGCCGAGGCCUUUGCGCGAAGGGUCUCCCGUAGUGCACUGGCGUCACUCGGCCGCCGACUUCUAUCCUACCGCGGUGCUCUUCAUUGAGUGUCGAGGUAGGCCGACACGUUUACUUUGAACAAAUUAGAGUGCUUAAAGCAGGCCAAAAACUCUGCCUAAAUAGUGGUGCAUGGAAUAAUGGAACAGGACCUUGGUUCUAUUUUGUUGGUCUUAGGAACACAAGGUAAUGAUCAAUGUGGACAGGCGGGGGCAUUCGUAUUGCGGCGUUAGAGGUGAAAUUCUUGGAUCGUCGCAAGACGCACUAGAGCGAAAGCAUUUGCCAAGUAUGUCCUAAUUGAUCAAGAACGAAAGUUAGAGGUUCGAAGGCGAUCAGAUACCGCCCUAGUUCUAACCAUAAACGAUGCCAGCCAGCGAUCCGCCGAUGUUCCUCCGAUGACUCGGCGGGGAGCUUUCCCCGGGAAACCAAAGCUUUUGGGUUCCGGGGGAAGUAUGGUUGCAAAGCUGAAACUUAAAGGAAUUGACGGAAGGGCACCACAAGGAGUGGAGCCUGCGGCUUAAUUUGACUCAACACGGGAAACCUCACCAGGUCAGGACAUUGGAAUGAUUGACAGAUUGACAGCUCUUUCUUGAUUCAGUGGGUAGUGGUGCAUGGCCGUUCUUAGUUGGUGGAUCGAUUUGUCUGGUCAAUUCCGAUAACGAACGAGACUCUAGCCUAUUAACUAGACGUUCCCGGUAUCGUCUGCUACCGGCGAAACCUUAUCUUCUUAGGGGGACAGGCGGCUUUCAGCCGCACGAGAUUGAGCAAUAACAGGUCUGUGAUGCCCUUAGAUGUCCUGGGCCGCACGCGCGCUACACUGAAGGAAUCAGCGUGUGCUUUCCCUUGCCCGAAAGGCCCGGGUAACCCGCUGAACCUCCUUCGUGCUAGGAAUUGGGGCUUGCAAUUGUUCCCCAUGAACGAGGAAUUCCGAGUAAGCGCGAGUCAUAAGCUCGCGUUGAUUAAGUCCCUGCCCUUUGUACACACCGCCCGUCGCUACUACCGAUUGAAUGAUUUAGUGAGGUCUUCGGACCGGCGGUUUUGACCUGACCGGCUCGCGUCGGUUUUGACAGACGCUGGAAAGAUGACCAAACUUGAUCAUUUAGAGGAAGUAAAAGUCGU
rnacentral:rRNA from 1 species